AGGGCUGGAGCGGAAAGAGAGCCAAGUGAGAAGAAAUGGCAUUCCUGUUUGCCAUGAAAUAACCAAAGUAGAGAGAGACUUGAAUCAUUAAGUGAUGGGUGCACUGGGGGACCAUAAAGUGGUAGAAGAAGGACGCCCACAAGUAGAUCAGUGAAUUCAACUACCCCAGCAGGGUUUCCUCAGCCAGCCUGUUCUAACUUAGAAAGGCACUACUGGGUUGCCCUGUGAUGAGCCCACCAGUCACAAAUGACAACCGUGUUCGUGUCACUAUUGGCAGAAGCAGGUGGUGUGUUCUCUCACUUAACACAACAGGUUUACAUCACCACCCUUAGCAUCCUGGUAGCUUGAAGCAUGGCUCUGCUCUGUCUCUCUACAAAGUCUAUAAAAACCCUCCGGUUCCCACAAGGCUAAUCGAUGAAAACGUAUGGUUCUCACUACGCAGAUCCUAUCACACCUUGUGUUCCAGACACUGUUUCAAACGGGCUGUGAAGCCAUAUCAGAAUUCCCAACAGAGACAACUUAAAGAAGAAAGAAUGCAUAGUGGCUCAUGGUUCCCAGGGAGAGCUGUCCAUCAAAAAGGGGGAAGGCGUGGCCGAGUCUGUGACCUGAGAGCAUGGAGCAGAGGCUGCUCCUAUGUAAGAAGCAGGGAGCUCAGUCAGGAGCCAGAAUCUCUGCCCCAGUAACCCACUCCUGCUGGUGAAGCCACAGCCUCCAAACCGGCGCCACCAGCAGGGGCUAGGUGUUCAUACACAUGCAGCUGUGGUGAGAGUGAGGGUUAGAGAGGGGGACACCUGGCUGGCUAGCCAGAGAGAGACACAGAGACAGAACAAAGACCUACAGCUCCUGACCCUGCCUCCUUCCUACCCAGGGUCAAUUAGGCCUAGAAUUUCCUGUAGGCCUUGUCCUCAGCUGGAGGCAAUAAAUCAUGCUAUGGGUUUCUGUUGCAUAGUGGUUGUCAGUCUGACAUCUCCCACACAAUGUGCUCAUACCCACGCAGGUACAAGGCCCUAUGUCUAUCUGCACGGGAAUCCUGGGGGCACUUAGCUCUCAAGUGCAAGUGUACGUUUCGAUUAAAGUCCCUUUUC
rnacentral:lncRNA from 1 species